rnacentral:rRNA from 1 species
AGCGUCAAAAGGGCAUCCGGGGGAUGUCUUGGCGGUAAGAGGCGAUGAAGGACGUGGCACUCUGCGAUAAGCACGGGGGAGGCGAGAGCACCCAUUGAUCCCGUGAUUUCCGAAUGGGGAAACCCAUCUCCGAGAUGUGAGACUAUUAUUCAACUCCGGUUGAAUGCUGGUCUUACAUUUCAAUAGUGAGAUAUUUUACACUGAAUACAUAGGUGUUAAAAAGCGAACCCGGGGAAUUGAAACAUCUAAGUACCCGGAGGAAAGGACAUCAAUUGAGACUCCCUUAGUAGCGGCGAGCGAACGGGGACCAGGCCUGGUCUGAAAUAAAGCAAAGCAUCUGGAAAGUUGCGCCAUAGUGGGUGAUAGCCCCGUAGCUGUAAAAUGAAGACCUUUUUGAGUAGGGCGGGACACGUGAAAUCCUGUCUGAACAUGGGGGGACCACCCUCCAAGCCUAAGUACUCCUUACCGACCGAUAGUGAACUAGUACCGUGAGGGAAAGGCGAAAAGAACCCCUGUGAGGGGAGUGAAAUAGAACCUGAAACCGUAUACGUACAAGCAGUGGGAGCAGACUUGUUCUGUGACUGCGUACCUUUUGUAUAAUGGGUCAGCGACUUGGUCUUACGAGCAAGCUUAAACCGAUAGGUGUAUGCGCAGCGAAAGCGAGUCUUAAUAGGGCGACAUGU